rnacentral:sRNA from 1 species
CCCCUUCCAGUUUCUUUUUUCUUUUCCUUUCUUUUCCAUUUUUUAUUCCUUUAGGCCUGUUGGUUGUGUUGUUUGUAAAGGCGGUGAUGGAUGCACCCUGUAGGCUGCGUUGCACAUCUAUCGGGCGGGAAUGCGAAGGAGAACUUUAUUUGGGCCUCCCGAUCUGGACCACCUUCACUGGCAAUGCUGCGUGUUCGAAUCAGAACCUCUGACAUAUUUUUUCUGUCCUUUUAUUUUGCUUCCACUCUUAUCAUCCCUUUAGCGCCUCCCUAUUAUUUGAUAGACCUUAUUCUGUUUCAUAGGGUAUAUAUACUCCUCUCGGGAGAGAGUCACCUAGUCUACAAGUGUACGAGCCGUUUAUCAAUGUUCCAUUUGCCGUAUC